CCCCUAGAUGUUCUGGGCCGCACGCGCGCUACACUGAACAGUUCAACAAGUCUUAACCUUGGCCGAUAGGUCUGGGUAGUCUUUGAACGCUGUUCGUGAUUGGGAUAGACCUUUGCAAUUAUGGGUCUUCAACGAGGAAUUCCUAGUAAACGCAAGUCAUCAGCUUGCAUUGAUUACGUCCCUGCCCUUUGUACACACCGCCCGUCGCACCUACCGAUUGAAUGGUCCGGUGAAAUCUCGGGACGGCGGCUUGGUCGCUUGCGUCCGACUGCUGAAACUUGAUUAAACCAUAUCAUUUAGAGGAAGGUGAAGUCGUANCA
rnacentral:rRNA from 1 species